CUACGGGAGGCAGCAGUGGGGAAUAUUGCACAAUGGGCGAAAGCCUGAUGCAGCGACGCCGCGUGAGGGAUGACGGCCUUCGGGUUGUAAACCUCUUUCAGCAGGGACGAAGCGCAAGUGACGGUACCUGCAGAAGAAGCACCGGCUAACUACGUGCCAGCAGCCGCGGUAAU
rnacentral:rRNA from 1 species